rnacentral:lncRNA from 1 species
AGUGUAGGUUUAGGCUUUAUCUUAUUGAGCUUGACUCGACCUGCAUACAUUAGGCUCAAUUAAUAAAUAAUUAAAUCAAACUCGAAUUAAUUUAUUAAAAUGCAAUGAUGAGGGUAACACAUCUUUUAGUUGAAUUUACAAAAUAUGUGAAUUAAAAUAAUGAUAAGUGCUAUGAAUAAGAUAUUAAUUUAUGCAUUAUUUAACACUUAUCACACCCCCCAACCUACAUUUUGCUAGUCCUCAAGCAAAAUAAAAACUAACUCACUUUCGCAGGAAUCGCGAUUGCAUUUACCGUAUGCAAUAAGGCUUUAAACCCCUAGGUGGCCCUAGUGGACGAGUUUUGUCUCGUGAGGGUUUCUGGCUCAGAUACCCACAAACUGCUGUCUCUAC